UGGGGAAUCUUGCACAAUGGGGGCAACCCUGAUGCAGCGACGCCGCGUGAGCGAUGAAGGUUUUCGAAUCGUAAAGCUCUGUCCUAUGGGAAGAUAAUGACGGUACCAUAGGAGGAAGCCCCGGCUAACUACGUGCCAGCAGCCGCGGUAAUACGUAGGGGGCGAGCGUUGUCCGGAAUUACUGGGCGUAAAGGGUUCGCAGGCGGCAUGGCAAGUCCGAUGUAAAAGGCGAAGGCUCAACCUUCGUAAGCAUCGGAAACUGUCAAGCUUGAGUGAAGGAGAGGCAAGUGGAAUUCCUAGUGUAGCGGUGGAAUGCGUAGAUAUUAGGAGGAAUACCGGUGGCGAAGGCGACUUGCUGGACUUCAACUGACGCUGAGGAACGAAGGCGUGGGUAGCAAACAGG
rnacentral:rRNA from 1 species